AUAUGCACAAAGUUAGAGGGUGUAAAUGGAAAUUCUCGUUAAAAUAAAAUAGGCAUUUGCCAGAUCUCGCACGCCAAAAAACAAAAAGGAAAAAGCCCUAAAAGCUUAGAGUAAAAAACCACAAAAUCAAGCCUAGGCCGCCGCUGCAUACACUCCAUCGGUGAGAUUUCGAGUCCAAACUCUGCUAAACCCUUCGCCGCCGCCGGGCAGCAGCCAAGCAGGUUUUUCUCCAAUUCAUUUAAGAAAUGGAAUCCCAGAUCAAACACGCUGUGGUGGUAAAAGUUAUGGGGCGAACUGGAUCAAGAGGGCAGGUGACUCAAGUGAGAGUCAAGUUUCUUGACGAUCAGAAUCGUUACAUCAUGAGGAAUGUCAAGGGACCUGUGAGGGAAGGUGACAUUCUUACCCUUCUGGAGUCUGAGAGAGAAGCCAGGAGGUUGCGUUGAUGAUAGUAAUUAUCCUUCUCAACAUGCACUCUUAAGAAUAGAAUGAUGGCUGUUAUCAAUUUUCCCUCUUAUGAAAAAUCUGAUUUUGGAUACUGUUAUUUUGUUUCGUAACUUCGAUUCUAAGAUAGAAUGUUUGAACCGGACGGAUAGUUUAUUUGGAUUGUCAAACUAUUUUUGUUCUGAUAAAGAGUUUCUGUGAAAAAGGUUUUUCUUUUCUUUUAAAA